CUUUACUAAAUUAACAAGCAUUAUAAAGUAAUACUGUGAACCAGUUUCCUCUUUGGUAAAAUGGGAGACAAUUAUGUAUAUUUUCCAUAAAUAUCAUGACAAUCCAAUGAGAUAAUACAAGUGAACAUGUUCCAUAAAGCAAAAAUGCUGCAUACCUAUGAAUGUGAUAUUAUUUAUUAUUUUGCAGUGAUUCUAGGGCAAAUGAUUUCUUAAUCAUAGCAAUGAUGUUCUCUGGAUUACGAUUGGCCUGAAUGUGACUUUCUUUUUUUUUUUGAGAUGGAGUCUCACCCUGUCGCCCAGGCUGGAGUGCAGUGGUGCGACCUCGGCUCACUGCAAGCUCCGCCUCCCAGGUUCAGACCAUUCUCUUGCCUCAGCCUCCUGAGUAGCUGGGACUAAGGGUGCCCGCCAGCACGCCCAGCUAAUUUUUUGUAUUUUUAGUAGAGAUGGGGUUUCACCGUGUUGGCCAGGGGGUGGUCUCGAUCUCCUGACCUCGUGAUCCGCCCAUCUCGGCCUCCCAGAGUGCUGGGAUUACAGGCGUGAGUCACCGCGCCCAGCCCUGAAUGUGACUUUCGAACACUUCCCUUGCUUCAUUCAUCCACCUCCUCAUUUUUCUCUCAUCUCACACAAUAUUCCUAUUCUCUGUCAUAUAACCCCACAACUUCUUUUUCUCUUAUUCCCCAAAUGCCAGUGCUAGUACCAUCACUCUGCCCACCAGACAAGAAACACUAUCUAUGUUCCCUUGUUAAUCUAUUGACCUUUAAGCCCACUUGUUUCAUUAAGAGAACGCGUA
rnacentral:lncRNA from 1 species